rnacentral:rRNA from 1 species
UACGUAGGUGACAAGCGUUGUCCGGAUUUACUGGGCGUAAAGAGCGCGCAGGCGGUCGAUCAAGUCGUGUGUGAAAGCCCCCGGCUCAACUGGGGAGGGUCAUUCGAUACUGAUCGACUCGAAGGCAGGAGAGGGUAGUGGAAUUCCCGGUGUAGUGGUGAAAUGCGUAGAUAUCGGGAGGAACACCAGUGGCGAAGGCGACUACCUGGCCUGUUCUUGACGCUGAGGCGCGAAAGCUAGGGGAGCAAACGGG